rnacentral:rRNA from 1 species
UACGAAGGGGGCUAGCGUUGCUCGGAAUCACUGGGCGUAAAGCGCACGUAGGCGGAUUGCUAAGUCAGGGGUGAAAUCCUGGAGCUCAACUCCAGAACUGCCUUUGAUACUGGCGACCUUGAGUCCGGGAGAGGUGAGUGGAACUGCGAGUGUAGAGGUGAAAUUCGUAGAUAUUCGCAAGAACACCAGUGGCGAAGGCGGCUCACUGGCCCCGGUACUGACGCUGAGGAGCGAAAGCCAGGGGAGCAA